rnacentral:rRNA from 1 species
UACGUAGGGUGCGAGCGUUAAUCGGAAUUACUGGGCGUAAAGAGCGCGCAGGCGGUUUGAGAAGUCAGAUGUGAAAGAGGCCGGCUUAACCGGCAAGGGUCAUUUGAAACUGACAGACUAGAGUACAGCAGAGGAUAGCGGAAUUCCCGGUGUAGUGGUGAAAUGCGUAGAUAUCGGGAGGAACACCAGUGGCGAAGGCGGCUAUCUGGGCUGAAACUGACGCUGAGGCGCGAAGGCUAGGGUAGCAAACAGG